GCAGAGUAGCUGCUGGCGCGUCAAGUGUUCAUGAACGGGGAGUUGUCAUGAAACGAAGGGGGGCUUCGUCCCGCUUUCAUCUGUUCGGAUGGACAGGGGGAAGCGGAGCGUGCCUGCCCGCGGUGCCAGCGGCGCAUCCCGCUGC
rnacentral:ncRNA from 1 species